rnacentral:lncRNA from 1 species
GAAAAACACCCAGAUGGUGCCUGUUAUUCAGAAUGUGUUUCUAUUCAUUGUGGCAUUCUACUAGGCUACAUCUACAAUGCAACAGCAAAUGUUUUGAUGGCCAUUGAUGAUUGGAGAGCAGCAUUGGAACAUUAGCUUGUCUGGGCUAAAAGCCCUACUAAAUAGAUUCCUCUUGGGAAACUUUGUCUAUUCCUUAGUUAAGUUAAAAAUCACAUCACACAUCAUAAGUUACUUAAAAAAAUUUAAACAAAUUCAGAUUAGGAUUUUGAGAAAAUUUCAGCUGAAGUAUUUGUGUGACCUAUGUGCUGCCUAAGUGCUUGUGAAAACAGAUCAAACGGUAAAUUGCAAUAGUGCAAGCU